AAUCAACGCUGGCGGCGUGCCUAACACAUGCAAGUCGAACGCGAAAGUGGAGCAAUCCAUGAGUAGAGUGGCAAACGGGUGAGUAACGCGUGGGCGACCUACCUUCGAGUGGGGGAUAACCUUCCGAAAGGAGGGCUAAUACCGCAUGACAUCCCGUGUUUGGAUACACGGACAUCAAAGCCGGGGAUCGUAAGACCUGGCGCUUGAAGAGGGGCCCGCGUCCGAUUAGCUAGNGGUGAGGUAACGGCUCACCAAGGCUCCGAUCGGUAUCCGGCCUGAGAGGGCGGACGGACACACUGGAACUGAGACACGGUCCAGACUCCGUACGGGAGGCAGCAGUGGGGAAUUGUUCGCAAUGGGCGCAAGCCUGACGACGCAACGCCGCGUGGAGGAUGAAGAC
rnacentral:rRNA from 1 species